rnacentral:piRNA from 1 species
UCCUUGACCUCUGAUGAGAUAUACAGGAAAAA